rnacentral:rRNA from 1 species
CCUACGGGAGGCAGCAGUAGGGAAUAUUGCUCAAUGGGGGAAACCCUGAAGCAGCAACGCCGCGUGGAGGAUGAAGGUUUUCGGAUCGUAAACUCCUUUUGUUAGAGAAGAUAAUGACGGUAUCUAACGAAUAAGCACCGGCUAACUCCGUGCCAGCAGCCGCGGUAAUACGGAGGGUGCAAGCGUUACUCGGAAUCACUGGGCGUAAAGAGCGCGUAGGCGGGAUAGCAAGUCAGAUGUGAAAUCCUAUGGCUUAACCAUAGAACUGCAUUUGAAACUGUUAUUCUAGAGUAUGGGAGAGGUAGGUGGAAUUCUUGGUGGAGGGGUAAAAUCCGUAGAGAUCAAGAGGAAUACUCAUUGCGAAGGCGACCUGCUAGAACAUAACUGACGCUGAUGCGCGAAAGCGUGGGGAGCAAACAGGAUUAGAUACCCCAGUAGUC